AGUGAACGCUGGCGGCAGGCCUAAUACAUGCAAGUCGAACGGCAGCACAGUGGAGCUUGCUCCAUGGGUGGCGAGUGGCGGACGGGUGAGGAAUACAUGGGAAUCUGCCCAGUCGUGGGGGAUAACGUAGGGAAACUUACGCUAAUACCGCAUGCGCCCUUCGGGGGAAAGCCGGGGACCUUCGGGCCUGGCGCGAUUGGAUGAGCCCAUGUUCGAUUAGCUAGUUGGCGGGGUAAAGGCCCACCAAGGCGACGAUCGAUAGCUGGUCUGAGAGGAUGAUCAGCCACACUGGGACUGAGACACGGCCCAGACUCCUACGGGAGGCAGCAGUAGGGAAGAUUGGACGAUGGGCGCAAGCCUGAUCCAGCCAUGCCGCGUGAGUGAAGAAGGCCCUCGGGUUGUAAAGCUCUUUUGUCCGGGAAGAAAAGCAUCGGGCUAAUACCUCGGUGUUCUGACGGUACCGGAAGAAUAAGCACCGGCUAACUUCGU
rnacentral:rRNA from 1 species